CUCAAACUGAACACAUCAACAUCAAACAUCAACAUCUCAAACUGAGAAUCAGGGACUAAACAACAGCCAAUCAGAAUCAGUCAGGUGUUUCUCAGUGAGCAGGUGUUUGUUACCGUGACAAUGGUGAGUGGGGCGCUGAGGAUGAUGAUGGGAAACCUUUCAGUAUCAACACUUACUCGUCCAAAAGAAAUCCUGCAGGAGACAAGGAAGAUGAUUUACAGCAAACCUCCAAGGAACAAGAUCGGAGCCGCGCAAAGUUUUUUAGUCAUGUUGGUAUUUGCCGCUGCCAUGUUGACUCCAGCUGCCUGGAUUCUUCAUCACCUGCCACAGUACCGACAGAGGGCCAAACAGGUUCAACAGAGUCCCAGGACCUGACCUUCAUCUUCAUCAUCAUCUUCCUCUUCCUCCUCCUCAAUACCAACAACUGGAUGUCCAUUUGUCAAUAUAUUUUAAAUUUCAAUCAAUAAAUGUAUUGGAUAAAUAGAUUCCAAGUUUAAUUGACAAUAUUGAACUUUAAUCAAUAAACACUUUAUUAUGACAUCUAACUGUACUUUUAAAACAAGAGCAGUCUGUUUUUCUCCUCAUCUUGUUUUCGUUUAGUAAAACAAAAUAUGUUUGCUAUUGUUGCUUCUCUCUGGUUCAAAUCUGACUCUGACCAAACAGGAAGUAUGUGAAGAUAAAUAAAAGCUGGAGUUUGUGUGUUUGUGUUUGAGCAGGAUGUUUCUGUUUGUUUAGAUUUCUUAUGCUGGUUUUACACAGUUAAUUACUUCCUGUUUGAGAACAUAAUUUCCCACAGAGACAAACUCAUUAAACCUGAGAAAGACA